rnacentral:rRNA from 1 species
AACGAACGCUGGCGGCAGGCCUAACACAUGCAAGUCGAGCGCGCCCUUCGGGGUGAGCGGCGGACGGGUGAGUAACGCGUGGGAACGUGCCCUUUUCUACGGAAUAGCCUCGGGAAACUGAGAGUAAUACCGUAUACGCCCUUUUGGGGAAAGAUUUAUUGGAAAAGGUUCGGCCCGCGUUGGAUUAGGUAGUUGGUGGGGUAAUGGCCUACCAAGCCGACGAUCCAUAGCUGGUUUGAGAGGAUGAUCAGCCACACUGGGACUGAGAAACGGCCCAGAAUCCUACGGGAGGCAGCAGUGGGGAAUCGUAGACAAUGGGGGCAACCCUGAUCUAGCCAUGCCGCGUGAGUGAUGAAGGCCUUAGGGUUGUAAAGCUCUUUCAGCUGGGAAGAUAAUGACGGUACCAGCAGAAGAAGCCCCGGCUAACUCCGUG